rnacentral:rRNA from 1 species
AGUAAUGCAUCGGAACGUAACCUUUCUAGUGGGGAGUAACGUAGCGAAAGUUACGCUAAUACCGCAUAUUCUGUGAGCAGGAAAGACAGGGGAUCGCAAGACCUUGCGCUGAUUGAGCGGCCGAUGUCAGAUUAGCUAGUUGGUGAGGUAAAGGCUCACCAAGGCGACGAUCUGUAGCGGGUCUGAGAGGAUGAUCCGCCACACUGGAACUGAGACACGGUCCAGACUCCUACGGGAGGCAGCAGUGGGGAAUUUUGGACAAUGGGGGCAACCCUGAUCCAGCCAUGCCGCGUGAGUGAAGAAGGCCUUCGGGUUGUAAAGCUCUUUCGGCCGGGAAGAAAUCGCAUGGGUUAAUACCCUGUGCGGAUGACGGUACCGGCAUAAGAAGCACCGGCUAACUACGUG